rnacentral:lncRNA from 1 species
UAAAAUGAGAUUUGUUAGAAAUACAACAACAUAGAGAAAUAGUUCGUCUUUUGGGGAAUUCAACUAAGUUAAUUUACAAUUAUAAAGUUAGAGUUAAACAACAAACAAUAAAUAAUCACAAUUAAAUAAUUAAAGAGUAAGGGAGAAAUUGAAUUCAGGCCCCCUUUUGGGCCAAUUUCGUUAGUAUUUUAGGGGGUUUAACCAAAACCCGUUUUUGGUAAACAACUGAUGUAUAUCAGUGUAUAUCAGCGUGUGCAUAGGCUCUUUUCAUGUAUCUCUUGCUUCCGAACACCUAUAUUUCACCUUAGCCCUGUAUUUU